rnacentral:rRNA from 1 species
UACGUAGGUGGCAAGCGUUGUCCGGAUUUACUGGGUGUAAAGGGCGUGCAGCCGGGAAGACAAGUCAGAUGUGAAAUCCCGCGGCUCAACCGCGGAACUGCAUUUGAAACUGUUUUUCUUGAGUACCGGAGAGGUCAUCGGAAUUCCUUGUGUAGCGGUGAAAUGCGUAGAUAUAAGGAAGAACACCAGUGGCGAAGGCGGAUGACUGGACGGCAACUGACGGUGAGGCGCGAAAGCGUGGGGGGCAAACAGG